CUCAGUGGGCUUGUUCGCUGAACUUCUUGACGUAGAGACUACUUCGAAAAGUCCGAUGUGUGCGGCCAGGCGCCGCGAAAUGUGGCUUGCUCUGAUGUGAAAAACGACGUGAUAUUUGUAUCGUUUUAAAAAAGCCUGAGCAUUUGUUGUUGCUAUCUUCAAGCAAGUCUGUCAUCUAAUGACCUUUUCAAGUGGAUAUGUGAAAGGUUUUGGCGAUGUUUGUCUGCACUUCUGGUGUUGUGCCCACAAGGUGUCUUCUCAUGACAGCCAUCAGUCGUUGAAGGGGAUCCCUCAUUCAUUGCACCACUCGUCCAGUUCUGUUGAAGUCUGUGUGUAUCAGCUCACCACCUUGUUCAUUUAGCAGGCCGAAUCCUACCCGGAAUUAUCUCAGCUGCUCGACGGCAUGAUCUUCCAAAAGAUGGAGCUUUGGUGAGAUGUUGGAGCUUGGGAAUGAUGCACGGAAUGACUUCAGGAAUUCUUUGAUGCAGAUAUCUACAUUUAGCACAAACACAAAAAGAUUCCCUGAGAAGUCGUUCGUGGGCUGCAAGAGGAACAUCAUCCGUCAUAUUUUCCAGCAUGACCUUCAUUGGAGCCGCAGUUAAUGCUUCAAUGA